AGGAGGGAGCUGCCGUGAGAGCGCGGCCUGAGCCGCGGAGGCCGCCUGGAAGGGAACUUCUGACGGGAACAAAGGAAGCCAGAAGGACCCAGAGGUUUAAGCCACAACCCUUUGGAAACAAGAGAUCCUGUCAAUAAAACCAGACCAGAUUUAUGGACUGACUGCACAGCCCAGGAAAGGACUGGAAUGCUCAACAGGGAAUGAGAUCACCAGAAAUGAGCCCAGGAACAUCCAGAGCUCGCAGGAGAGGACACAGAAGAUGCAGCUGAAGGCAGAAUGACUCCCAGAUUUGCUGUUGCAAGCUCUCCACCUCGCUCUGUUACAGGACAGAUAAACACAGGCUGAGGGGCUCUUUCCCUGCCAUUUUCUCCUGGUAGUUUUUCCCUCUAUUUGGAUUCCACGAUAUGAUAUAUGAAGUGAAAUCAAUAAUCCUCACUUUUCAGGUUAAGGGCACAGCUGAAUAAAUAAUUCAUAAGUCAUUGGAUCA
rnacentral:lncRNA from 1 species